GGGAGUGAUUUCUUAUUAAUAAAGAAACUGCCUUGGCCCAUUUUAUUGGAUAGAAAAUUAGGUAGGCGGAGUAGACAGAGGAGAAUGCUGGGAAAAAGAAGCUGUGUGAGAGUCGCCAUGGUUCUCCCGCUCCAGACAGACACAGGUUAAGAUCCUCCCUGGUAAGCCAGCUCGUGGGCUACACAGAAUAUUAGAAAUGGGUUAGAACAAUAUGUAAGAGCUAGCCAUAAGGAACUGGAACUAUCCGGGCCAGGCAGUGUUUGAAAGAA